UGGGGAAUUUUGGACAAUGGGGGAAACCCUGAUCCAGCCAUCCCGCGUGUGCGAUGAAGGCCUUCGGGUUGUAAAGCACUUUUGGCAGGAAAGAAACGUCAUGGGUUAAUACCCCGUGAAACUGACGGUACCUGCAGAAUAAGCACCGGCUAACUACGUGCCAGCAGCCGCGGUAAUACGUAGGGUGCAAGCGUUAAUCGGAAUUACUGGGCGUAACGCGUGCGCAGGCGGUUCGGAAAGAAAGAUGUGAAAUCCCAGAGCUAAACUUUGGAACUGCAUUUUUAACUACCGGGCUAGAGUGUGUCAGAGGGAGGUGGAAUUCCGCGUGUAGCAGUGAAAUGCGUAGAUAUGCGGUGGAACACCGAUGGCGAAGGCGGCCUCAUGGGAUAACACUGACGCUCAUGCACGAAAGCGUGGGGAGCAAACAGG
rnacentral:rRNA from 1 species